rnacentral:lncRNA from 1 species
GAAGCCACCUGGCUUGGCCAGUGCAAGAACAGUUUGAGCGAAUACUGACUCUUCCACCCCAACACCAUUUGCUCUGCCAAAAUUUGCUCUGGUCCAAAAUUUCAAGCUUGUGCCAAGAUGUUGAGUUGGGCGAUGUCUCUGAUGUCAUCAGGUACCGCUAGUGUACCCCAGAUAAGAACAGUGGACGUGAAGCAGUCAGGGCCUGAACGAGGCACUUUGUAGCUUACAAAUCAUUCUCUCCUCCACGACUUUGGUGAACCUCAGAACCGCCCUGUGACCUAGGUAUUGACAUGACCACCAUCCUUCAAAGGAGCUCAUGGGACACAGCAGGCAUAAUGCCUGGUGGACGCCUGGCUGCAACCCCUGCAUUUUUCUUCUUCUUUAUUUUGCUC